CCGUUAAAUUGUCUUUGAAUCUUCUCAAGUUCACUUUCUAAAGGGUCUUAAGGGAAGGAAGUGAUUUCAAAACACGCCAGAAACCGUUUCCAGAAUUUCUGCAGCCAGCCGUGGUGGGAACUUGGUAUAGACACUGUGCUGCCUCUUCUGUUUUUGCCAAAAAGACCUAGAAAGCCGGACAAAAUACACGGAGCACGUGGAUUUGGACAUCGGGACAAGAGCCUGCUCAGGAGGAUGGGAGCGGAUGAGGAAGUGGAGCGUUUCCCCAAAAGUUGGUUUGCCGUUUGGGAGACAGAGCUCUCGGAGGCCGGUUCUGCCCUGGUUCCCACGCGGAUUGCAAUAGCACUGCACCCACGGCAUGGCUACAAAGGAAGGAAGCAGCCCCCCAGGUGAGCCCCGGAACCCAUCCCCUUUCUGCACAGAGGUGAGUACGUGGAAGACCCCGGCCCAGGGCACCCUCCCCAGGGACCCGAGGGGAGCUGCAGCUGCAGGCGGUUACAGAACAGAAGCACAAGGAGGGAAAGAGGUUUCUGACAGCAGAGAUCCAACAGGAGGGACAACCCCGUCCUCUGGCCGCGUCUCCUGGAGUGGGCAGGGGCUGUGUGGGAGCGCCUCCUGCGUCCAGGUGGCCCCCCUGCCCCGCCCUCCUCUGUAAGGGCAUCUGAAGGUAGAGGCUGACUCUGGGGGGAAGAUCAGGGGCCCAUUCUCAUUACUCGCGGAUUCCAUAACUGUGAAUUCUCUUAUUCACUAAAAUUUAUUUGUCGCCUCAACAUCAACGCUUGGCGCUUUCCCGGACGUUCUCGACAUUCUCGGACCUUCGCAGAGAGGUGACACAUCUGAUGUGCGCGUGCCCAGGCUGAACCGGGGCAUGCUCUGCCUUCUCCUUCGGGUCACUAUGCUCAAAUGUCCUCUUCAGUCCAUCCAGUACUGUGCGUCUCACAUUUGUGUGUUUUUGCUGGUGAUCUCGCAGUUUAAAGUGGCCCCCGGCAGCAAGCAGUGCUGUCUGGUGCGCUAGGGUGCGCCCCACGGGGAGAACGCAGGUGCACAUGAGCCAGGGUCGGGAGGUCAGUGCCGAUGCGUCAACGGUGCGUACGAAAUAAGGUAUCUUUACACAGAAGCACGCAUCAAGCAAGGUCACAUAGGGACUGAUGGACAACAGUGUGACCAGAGACUUUCGGGAACCGAUCUGCUUUCCCCCCGGGAGCGACGACGGUUCAGUGUUCUCGAAUUCAGGGUCAGCAGCGACUUGACGCUAUCGAGGAUCUGCUCUAAUUCGGAGAAUGCUAGAGAGAGAGCAGCAGAACCCACACCGUGGUCCGGCUAUGAAAGGGCCUGGCGUGCCUGUGUCGGAGCCUUGGGGUCUCCCCGGCUAAGCUGCCGGCACAGACGCUUUUGCAUUCGGGGCGUUUCUGUGGGUGGAUGCUGUGGGUUGGCCCCACAGCCAUCUCAGCCUCCUGCCUGGCCAGCACCAGUUGCAGAAGCGGAAGCCAAGUACUUGCUUUUCCGUCUCCCUGCUGCUCAGGGGGCUCCCGAGACCGUGUCCUGGCGCACGAGCUGUGAACUGGUCUCCUGGGAGUGGGGCCCCAGGGAGCAGCUUUGGCUCCCUAAUGCGGGGUCUCCGGCCCCACCUCCUCUUCCGGCCCAGCACGGAGCUGAGGGCUGCUUUGUUUUUCACUUUGCCAAGUGUUUUUCUUUACAGUGCUUCCCCCUGAUUUGCUCCAAGACCCCCAGGGGAUGCCUGAAACCGUGGAUAGUACCAAGCCCUGGAUAUCCUGUGCUCUCCUCGACAUACAGACCUGUGAUAGAGUUUAAUUUAUAAACCAGGCCCAGUAAGAGAUUAGCAACAGUAACUACUAAUAAGCUAGAACCAUCACAACAGAAUACUGUAAUGAACGUUGUGCGGAUGUGGUCUCUCUCUCUCAAAAUACCUUGCUGUGCUGUGCCCGCCUUCCCGCUCCUUGUGCCCACAUGAGAUGACAGUAUGCCCACGAGGUGGGAUGAAGUCAGAGGGUGGCACGGGCCGGGCACAGCUCGGGCCCCCAGUCUGUUCCUGGCCAUGGGAGGCAAACAUACCAGUGCCUCACGGGCCACCGAUCUCUGAGAUCCUGAUGGUCCGUGAAGGAGCCUGCCCCUCGUGCGAAUGCCCGCUGGUCGUUUGUGAGCCGCAGCAGCGCUUCUGGGCUCCGGUCCGGGCUUGGCCGCCUCCCGGCUGCGUAGCAUGGGACCUGCGGGCCGCCGCGCCCCGGCACUGUCAUCAGCGCAGAAGCCCUGACACCGGGAACGGUGUUCGACACAGGCUUGGAGCUCAAUAAAUAUUUGGAAGAUCGAAGCUUGCCUCUGGCUGCCAUUGUACGUGCGGAGCGGCAGGGCCCAGGAAAAGGCUCAGAGCCGAGUGGGCCAGCGGUCGAUGCCGAUCGGUGCCGGCUGUCACCGUCCAGUGGGGCCAGGGGCAGUGUCUGCGGACGGCGGGCCUGUGGCGGCUUGAGACGCCGGUUAGGUUUCGUGGCUGCACCGCGAGAGCCUUCCUCCCGGCCUGGCUCGCUCAUCUCUCCCCUUCCCACCCGCACUGCUUUCUCUCAGCCCGGGCGAACUUCGUCCUUGAGCUGCAAGAAGUCACCUUCACUCUCCCUUGGCGGGAAUGCGACGUCCAGGUGGUUCAGGCCUUGUCAGGGCUGACCAAGCAGCCUGGUUCCUCAGCCUGCGGUGCCUGCCCCCGGUGAGCUGGUCGGCUGGGUUCAUUCGUAUCAGGCACGAUGGUCUGCUCGGUCUCCCCGAGGAGCAGGACAAGCUCUGUAGGGGCCGGGUGAUGUCCACAUCCUCCCACCCAGAACUAUUAUCUUACACAGCAGAAGACGCGAUCACGGUAAGGAUCUUGAGAGGAGGAGAAGUGUAUGGGGAUUAGCGGCGGGCCCUAAGUCCCGUCACGUGUGCCCUUAGGGAGGGAGGCAGGGGGAGGCCAGAUGGACACACAGAGAAGCCGGAGCAGAGAGAGAUGGGGUCACAGCCAGGGAUGUCGGGGGCCCCCCAGGAGCUGGAAGAGGCAGGAAGGGUCGUCCCCAGAUCUCCGGAGGGAGCACGGCUAACAGCUCGAUUUCAGACUUCUGGCCUCCAGAACUUUGAGAGAAGAAAUUCCUUUUGUUUUAAGCCACCUCGUUCGUAGUAAUUUGUUCUGGAAGCCCUAGGACACAAACACAGGCAUUUUUAUCUUUGUGCCUUUGUUCUUUCAUUUUCACACUUGGUUCAUCCUGGUCUCCUCCCGCCGGGCUGAGUGCAUUCUCUGCGGCCUAGCAGAGAGCGUCUUCACGCGUCCCGCAUGACCUCGCCUUCCUGGGACCCCAGCGCCCGUGGCUGCACUCGGAGCUGCAGAUCUGGUUCACUGUCUGGGGCACAGCCUGGCCAUCGGGCUUUAAAAAGCUGUCCUGCAGAUCCCAGCUCAGUGAUUCAAGCCCAGGCUGGUCCCGCUCCGAGUGGGGGGCGGUGCGUCCUGGCGGGUGGCCCCUUAGCUGGGCCCAGAGGCACAGAGCCGGCUUGGCCCACGCUUAGCACGGCCUCUCUCUGCAGACAGCGAGCGUCUGUCGGGCUAGACCGAGCACCCUGACCAUGGCGGCUGCUAACACCUGUAUUUUAAUUUUUCUGGACUUUCUGAAACGUGGCUGAGACGUGUUGAACACGCAGAGAAGACCGUCCCUCUCCUCCCUCUGUUUGAGCUGUGAAAGCGGUAAACCCACUCAGGGAGUGCCGUUACUUGAUGACUCUUGUUUGCCUCAUUGCUUGAGCCGGAGGAUAGAUAACGGCCAAGGUCCUGGUACCAGUGCGUGGAGUCAGGAGCAAAGCCGCGGCUCUUAGGAGUGGCGUGCGCAGCCCAAGGACUUGGCCUCACCCUGGGAGCCUGGCUGGGGUGGCCGCUCGGCUGUGACCGGGCAGCCAGUCAGACCACGAGCCCCUGUGCCCUGAGGUGCCCUGUCCCAGCAGGGAAGCCAGCGGUGCUGGCUCGCGGGAUCGAGCGGCUCCCAUCCCCAGACCCGUCUUGGUCAGAAGGGGCAGCGUCUCCAAGCCCUAGGACUUCUGGGUCCCAGGCCCCCGUCCAAGUGGUCAGACGCCUUCUCCCUUCGGCGAUCUGCCUCAGCUGAAAACGUUCACGGCAUUUGCGAUGGCGCUUGAAUCCCCUUCAAAUGCUGCUCUCCCUGAGGGGACCCUCCUGCCUGGCAGCCAUUGAAGGAAAAGAGAGAACAUUCCCCUGUGCCGAUUUUAUUAAUUAAAAAUGUUUAUCUUCUUAUAUUUGAAUGAGUAACACAUUCACAGGCUCAAAAUCCAGAAGGCACCCCCACCCCAUAUUAGCGAUCAAAACGGCGUGGUGUUUGUUGGCAGGGAGAAAGACGUGCCGACCGGCACGACCGCACAGAUGGCCCCACCGGCUGCCCCACUGAUCGGCGACGAGGGGCAAAGCAGUGCAACCGAGGA